CCUUUCAUGACAAAGUUCUUGACCGUCUUUACACUUUUGUCGGACUGUUUUCAUUUAGCAGCAUCCCGUCAACAACGUUUGCGCUAAACGAUUUCCCUCAAAUUUCUCGUUAAGGAACAACCUUAAUUUGGGCACACAAGCAUGAAGGACCAAGUAAAAU